rnacentral:misc_RNA from 1 species
AAAAAAAAAAAAAAAACUUGAUCACAAUCAUUAGUAGCUAAACUACCGCCUCAACAGCCCUUCUACUAAUUAAUUUUCUCAACUCUUCGCCUUCAGCACACAAAUUGAGGAGGAAGAAAUGUAAUUACGUAAAAGAAAAUCCAAAAGUUUAGGUACAAGUUUAAACUCUACACAUCGAUCGAAAUGACCACCAAUGAUGCACCAGAUCGAAUCGACACGGAAAUCCAGAAUUUCACCAAGGAUAAAGUUCGUUUAACAAAAUUCGAGACUCUAAGCUGAAACAGCUACCCUAUACCUCCGAUAUUAUAUACUAUUUUGCCUCCGAUAUACAAGACAAAGCUUGGAAUAACUUCUAAACUCUGCUCAGUAACGUCGCUUUUGCUUAGGGUUUCUACAAACGGUUAAAGUUCCGAUAUACGCGACGGCACGAUAACGUCACGCUUUCAUUUCCGUAAUUUAAACCACAAUCUGUCACCGGGAGCUCCAUUUUUCUGGCUGCUUGCUUCAAUUUUCCGGCGACGUUGUGGCCGGUAACGGGUAAGAAAAGUGAAAACCAGUGAGAGAUGGCAAUUUGGCUUUUGGGUAUGAGAG